AGCGGGUUGGGGUAGCUUGGAAAUCCCGCAGGGCUCAUAACCCUGAGAUCGGUUGUUCAAAUCAACCACCCGCUA
rnacentral:tRNA from 1 species